rnacentral:rRNA from 1 species
AGGACAAACGCUGGCGGCGUACCUAAGACAUGCAAGUCGAACGGAUCGUGUGCCUUCGGGUAGACGGUGAGUGGCGAACGGGUGAGUAACACGUAGGAACCUGUCGCACAGUGGGGGAUAACGCUGGGAAACCGGCGCUAAUACCGCAUGAGGUGGGCGGUGUAAAGCCGUUCACGAAAGCAGAGAUGCGCUGAGUGAGGGGCCUGCGGCCGAUUAGCUAGUGGUGGGUAACGCCUACAAGGCGACGAUCGGUAG